rnacentral:rRNA from 1 species
AGUGAACGCUGGCGGUAGGCCUAACACAUGCAAGUCGAACGGCAGCACAGGAGAGCUUGCUCUCUGGGUGGCGAGUGGCGGACGGGUGAGGAAUACAUCGGAAUCUACUCUGUCGUGGGGGAUAACGUAGGGAAACUUACGCUAAUACCGCAUACGACCUACGGGUGAAAGCAGGGGACCUUCGGGCCUUGCGCGAUUGAAUGAGCCGAUGUCGGAUUAGCGAGUUGGCGGGGUAAGGGCCCACCAAGGCGACGAUCCGUAGCUGGUCUGAGAGGAUGAUCAGCCACACUGGAACUGAGACACGGUCCAGAAUCCUACGGGAGGCAGCAGUGGGGAAUAUUGGACAAUGGGCGCAAGCCUGAUCCAGCCAUACCGCGUGGGUGAAGAAGGCCUUCGGGUCGUAAAGCCCUUUUGUUGGGAAAGAAAUCCAGCUGGCUAAUACCCGGUUGGGAUGACGGUACCCAAAGAAUAAGCACCGGCUAACUUCGUGCCAGCCGCCGCCGUAA